AGCAAAUGUUGCAACUAAAAAAAUACGAAUCUGUAUUCUAUAUGGGAAGAGAGGGGGACACUAAAAUAAUGAAAACCCCAUUUUGCCCUCAAUAAAUAUUGAAAUUACAUCUAAUAACUGCAAAUUUAUAAAUCCACGGCACAAGCACAACUAAACAUAUCUUUUUUGAAAUGGAAAAAUAAUAACCGCAAUUUACAAAAUAGAUAAGUUACCAAUAUCAAAACCACUUUUUUGAGAAAUACAAAUCCCUUAUUUAGUGGGAAAAAUCCUAUGAUUAACUGCCAAUAUACACGAUUAAUAGUUAAACGUUCCAAAAUUCUGAGUUGUUUAUCUCAUCCCCUCCAUUAACUGCAAACAAAAACGCAACAAUAUCAAAUACAAUUCUCCUUUUCAAAGACCAAGAGUCAGGUAAUUCAUUCAUAUAAUGCUUUGUUCUUCAUAAUAUAAUUGUAAUCAUACAUUAAUUCAUUUAUUUAGUGUGCUUUAAUUUCAGCCUUAUUGAAGAAAACCAAAAGGAGCAAAAAAAAAAAAAAAAAAAAAACCAAGCAGAGUGUAAUAAAGAAAAUUACAUUCAAAAGGUAAUACUUAUAUCAUAUUACGCUUUGUUGUUGCAUAAUUCUUAUAAUAGAGAUUUUUAGUGUGUUCUUUUGUUUUUUUUGACAUCAAGUAUUAUUGUGUUCUUAUUACAGUGUAAUCAAAUCAAGAGGAGUAAUAAGGAGAUCAAGCCAAAAGGUAAUACUUAUUGGUGACAAUAUGAUACUUGAAGACCCGAUUUAUAAAUUUAUAUACAAUUUCAGUCUUCAAGGAAACAAAUUACCAUUUAUUUUUAAAUAAAAAUCAAACUUUAGUUUUUCAAAGAAACAAAAUAGAAAUUUUAUCUCCUCCCUUGAACUAAACUUUCUCUUUCUUUUUUCACACAUUUUUUUGCAAAGAUCUUAGUUGAGUUUCUUCAAAAUCUCAUAACAACCCACAAAUAUAUCAAUUUGUUUCAUCAAAAUUUUGAGAUAUUUCGCAUGCAAAAAAAAAAGAAAAAAGAAGAGAGUUCAAACUCACCCCAAGGCAAAUAUCGAAAUAUUCAAUGUUAAUUUCCUCAAAUCCGAAAUCACUACUCCAUUUCGGAUUCUCCUCUAGGGGAGGCAAACAACGGCAGAAAUUCAGGUUCGGGCACCGACGUCGAGGAAGAAGAGAAAAAUUAAAUAGGACUUUGUAGAAUAUAGAUAAAGAAUCCAUUGAUUUAAACAUAAGAAAGAAGAACUUGGCUUUGUGCAUUUGUAGUUUGUAGCAUGCAUAAAGAAGUAAGGAUAUUUAACAAAAUUGAAUGUGGGCAUGUGACUAGCUCAUUAUAAACAUCUGAAUUCUAAAUGAUGUAUUAGGCAACUCAUAGUUAUAGGUAGCUAUCUUAUAAUGACAAAGAUAUUAUGCUAAUUUCGUAUGCUACUUUAUGAUAAGUUGUACACAUUUUUAAAUAGGGUAGGAUUACAUCUUCAAAUAAUUUUUUUGAUGUUGUAUUUAUAGGUAGCUUAUUGUUAUCAUUUACACUUUAAUUGUCUUUGUAUAUAUGAUGGGCAUGUUCUUUUAUAAUAUUAUCCUUUUCGUGAUGAA